AUUGAACGCUGGCGGCAGGCCUAACACAUGCAAGUCGAGCGGAUGAGAGGAGCUUGCUUCUCGAUUCAGCGGCGGACGGGUGAGUAAUGCCUAGGAACCUGCCUGGUAGUGGGGGACAACGUUUCGAAAGGAACGCUAAUACCGCAUACGUCCUACGGGAGAAAGCAGGGGACCUUCGGGCCUUGCGCUAUCAGAUGAGCCUAGGUCGGAUUAGCUAGUUGGUGAGGUAAUGGCUCACCAAGGCGACGAUCCGUAACAGGUCUGAGAGGAUGAUCAGUCACACUGGAACUGAGACACGGUCCAGACUCCUACGGGAGGCAGCAGUGGGGAAUAUUGGACAAUGGGCGAAAGCCUGAUCCAGCCAUGCCGCGUGUGUGAAGAAGGUCUUCGGAUUGUAAAGCACUUUAAGUUGGGAGGAAGGGUUGUAGAUUAAUACUCUGCAAUUUUGACGUUACCGACAGAAUAAGCACCGGCUAACUCUGUGCCAGCCGCCGCGGUAAGAC
rnacentral:rRNA from 1 species